GGGCCGAUGGUGAAAUUGGCAUACACGUACGCUUCAGAAGCGUAUCCCGCAAGGGGUGGAGGUUCGAGUCCUCUUCGGCCCA
rnacentral:tRNA from 1 species